GACGAACCGUGCAAACGUUGUUCGGAAUCACUGGGCUUAAAGGGCGCGUAGGCGGGCCAGCCAGUCUGUGAUGAAAUCCUCCAGCUUAACUGGAGAAGUGCCGUGGAUACUGCUGGCCUCGAGGAGGGUAGGGGCAUCUGGAACGGUCGGUGGAGCGGUGAAAUGCGUUGAUAUCGACCGGAACUCCGGUGGCGAAGGCGAGGUGCUGGACCCUUUCUGACGCUGAUGCGCGAAAGCCAGGGGAGCAAACGGG
rnacentral:rRNA from 1 species